ACGCUCGACACCUACGGGAGACAGCAGUGGGGAAUAUUGCACAAUGGGGGAAACCCUGAUGCAGCGACGCCGCGUGAGCGAAGAAGUAUUUCGGUAUGUAAAGCUCUAUCAGCAGGGAAGAAACUGACGGUACCUGACUAAGAAGCACCGGCUAAAUACGUUCCAGCAGCCGCGGUAAUCUGAGCGGCUGGCAAGGC
rnacentral:rRNA from 1 species